rnacentral:rRNA from 1 species
GACGAACGCUGGCGGCGUGCUUAACACAUGCAAGUCGAACGGAGUGGCGAACGGGUGAGUAACGCGCAAUCAACCUGCCCUUCAGAGGGGGACAACAGUUGGAAACGACUGCUAAUACCGCAUACGGAAGGAGGGGAUUGCGUGUGAUUAGCUAGUUGGCGGGGUAACGGCCCACCAAGGCGAUGUUCAGUAGGCGGUCUGAGAGGAUGAACGGCCACCUUGGGACUGGGACACGGCCCAGACUCCGACGGGAGGCAGCAGUGGGGGAUCUUCCGCAAUGGACGAAAGUCUGACGAAGCAACGCCGCGUGAGUGAUGACGGCCUUCGGGUUGUAAAGCUCUGUUAAUCGGGACGCGGUACCGGAAGAGAAAGCCACGGCUAACUACGUGCCAGCAGCCGCGGUAAUUC